rnacentral:rRNA from 1 species
AUUGAACGCUGGCGGCAGGCCUAACACAUGCAAGUCGAGCGGAGCGGCGGACGGGCGAGUAAUGCCUAGGAAUCUGCCUGGUAGUGGGGGAUAACGUCCGGAAACGGGCGCUAAUACCGCAUACUAUCAGAUGAGCCUAGGUCGGAUUAGCUAGUUGGUGGGGUAAAGGCCUACCAAGGCGACGAACCGUAACUGGUCUGAGAGGAUGACCAGUCACCCUGGAACUGAGACAGGGUCCAAAGCCCUACCAGAGGCAGCAGUGGGGAAUAUUGGACAAUGGGCGAAAGCCUAAUCCAGCCAUGCCGAAUGUGUGAAGAAGGUCUUCGGAUUGUAAAGCGCAUUAAGUUGGGAAGCGUUACCAACAGAAAAAGCACCAGCUAACUUCGUGCCAGCAGCCGCGGUAAUAC